UUACAAAUAUAUGCAUUCAGGUCUGAAUAUUUCUCUUGUUUCACCUUUUUGGUGGGAUAGACAUAGUACUUCAAUAAACUAUUUCAUUUCCUCUUUGCAGGUCACUUUGUCGUUAUUUGUGGUUAUGAUGCAGAUAAAGGUGAAUUUGGCAUAAGGGAUCCUGCCAGUUCUAGGUAUAAUACUUUUGGUUUCAUUUUGCAUGUUCAGUCCUUUCAGUGUAAAAUGUGAAAUAUUUCUUUUGCGAGUUAAUAAACUAUGUCUAGUUGUUAUAUCUGUAGUGCUUCAAAACGCAGUGCAGUUUUUGAAUUUAAUGGAUGAGAGAGGAAUCUUGUGUCAUGCAGAAACCAUGUCUAUCAUAAUUAAUAUGCUAGCAGCAGAUGACCCAGAUUGUGAGAGUAGAGAUAGACUGCGUGCCUACUUUGUGAAGUGAUGAACUAAGGUAUUCCGUUUAUAUAUUUGAUCAGUAGACAUUAUUUUGUUCAAAAUAAGUAUGUGAUAUUACAUGCUUUGCUUUGUUUAAUGAAAUAAAUAAAGGAUGUAACAGCUUUCUCUAUUCACGUUAGAACAAAGGAUGUAAAC
rnacentral:lncRNA from 1 species